rnacentral:misc_RNA from 1 species
UAAUGGAUAUGCUUGCUGCUGAUGGUUCCUCUUUAAGAGUGGAGAAAUUAAUGUAUGUAGUUCAUCAGCUGUAAUUAGCCACCCAGCUGGUACAAAACAGUAGUAAGCUAAUGUGCAGAUAUGCUACAUACUGGACAUAAUUUAAGUCUUAAAAGAUUAUAUUACAUGUGAUUGCUCAGAUCAUGUUCAUUAAAGGUUGGGAUUUGCAAGCAGGGGGAGGAGUGAUGAGGCAAUCCAUUACAACUUGAACAGAAAGAAAGGUUUGUAACGUUAGAUAGCAGAAGGGACCACCUUGGAGAUUGUUCAAUCCGUCUAUUUUAUUCACUGGACAUUUAAGCUGGUGGAAAAAGAAAGACUCUUUCAGGCAAAGAAGACAAUGUCUUCUGUAAGAAAUGAUCUCACAUCUAAACCAGCAACUCAGGGACCAUUUACCAUUCCAGUAGUUUUACAAGAUGAGCAGAAAGAAGUGCCAUUUGAGCAGAACUACAAGCUGCUGACUUGCAAUGAAUCUUAUUUUCUUGGGUUCUGUUCACUAAUGUUGUUAAACUGUUGUCCAGUUUCUUGCUAGAUUGGCAGUUUAUGCUUGUAAGGAUAUCUCCUGGAAAUGGGCUACGCUGCGAAGUGAUAAUUAAAAUCUUAGGCUGGGGCUGCCUGCAACUUCAGCUUGGAGGUUUGGCUUUGCCUGCUACCUGCUGCAGAAUUUGUAGCUAUAUGACAUUUUCUUGUUUCCCCCUUCUUAAUCUAUUCUAAUAAUUUUCCAUUGCUUCUGGUUGAACUACGGCCUAAGGCAGUAACUGAUUUUUUCUUUCAUUGUCAGGACAUUCACGUAAAGGCUAAAGCUAUUUCUGUAUGAUAUACUGAAAAGCACAUCUAUAAUAUCUUUUUUUUCUACAGAGGAAUUCAGUUAAAUGAGGAGGAGAAAAAUGAAGCGGCCUGUCUCGGUCAAUGGUGGGUCAAAAUUUUCGCAAUUUGGUACACUAGCUUAGCAGACAUAUGGUCCAGUUUGCUGUUAAAUCUGGUUGUUGGUGGGCCUUCACUAAGGAAUCCAUUUUAAUUGCUUGGCCACUGGUGAUGCUAUGUAGGUUCAUGGUUUUGUCUAGGCUGCACAUCAGACAAGAGCUGAGAUAAGAGAUGGGGGAAAUUAAUAUAAUGGGAGAUUUUUGGGACCUCUAUAGGGUCCUCCAAUAUGUUGCCAUAUUUCCUUAAUUGCUUUUGCAUUUCACAGAUUCCCUUGCCGGAAUUGAAUUGAUUGAACCUGCUUCACCAGCUGCAGAAAGUGACAUUAUUAUCAUACUAUAUCUCUGGAGGCUGUGUGCUAUGCUUAAUCGAACUGAGCUUGUUCAUUUCCAAGUUUGCUUCCCACCUCAAAAUUAAGUAUAUUAUUUCUUUGUGAAUUUGGCUCAAUUAUGAGUUCACUAUCCACCUUACAAAAUUAAGUAUAUUUUUUCUCUGGAAAUUCUCUAAUUUUUAUCGUAG